rnacentral:rRNA from 1 species
UAAUACGGAGGGGGCUAGCGUUGUUCGGAAUCAUUGGGCGUAAAGGGCGCGUAGGCGGCCCGGCAAGUCAGACGUGAAAUCCCUUGGCUCAACCAAGGAACUGCGUUUGAAACUGCCGGGCUUGAGUCCCGGAGAGGGCAGUGGAAUUCCCAGUGUAGCGGUGAAAUGCGUAGAUACUGGGAGGAACACCGGUGGCGAAGGCGGCUGCCUGGACGGGUACUGACGCUGAGGCGCGAAAGCGUGGGGAGCAAACAGGAUUAGAUACCCUGGUAGUCCACGCUGUAAACGAUGGGCACUUGGUGUUGCGGGUAUCGACCCCCGCAGUGCCGAAGCUAACGCAUUAAGUGCCCCGCCUGGGGAGUACGGUCGCAAGGCUG